CUUUCAUGCAAGAGAAAUUUCAAUUAAGGAGAUGAUGUAGUUCCCCAGAGCCUCCAGUAUGGAUUUGACAGCGGAGAGAUGAUGGGGCUUUAUUUAUUCCAAAGGUUUACAACUCAUCUGCCUCUCGCCACACACCUCCAAGCAGUGUCACAGCCUCGCAGUGGAAUUCAUUUGAGGUUCGUUUUGUGGAGAACAAGAAGUCUGAAUUCACAUGGGCCACAUUUUUAGGGAAAAUGAAAAAUAAAUAAACCCUAAAGAGACCUUCACUUACUCUCACUAAAGUUGUAGUUGCAUGCACCUGUAUAGUAAGGGGGGGUUGACCUGUUUGGCUGCUGCUGGUUUUUGGGUGAGGAUCCUGCUCCUGCCUUGCAAUCAGCCUCAUGCCUGACACCUGUGCAGUUGCCUCUACAAUGUUUAGCUCACCACCACCUCUCUGCCAGAACGUCAGUCAUUGGUCAGCUCUCCUGACUCUGCUCCGUCUGUUCCAGCUCUUCCUUCUGAACCUCCUCCGGCUCCUUUACCUCUGGAAACCUGGGAUCUACCCUGAGACAUUCUCGACUAAAACAGUUCACCCCCCUCUGAAGGACUCCAUUCCUCCUGUCUCUCUGCGUAGAAGUGCCUCAGUGCUGCCCCUUCUGGUUUCCUGUCAAGUGCCACGCCCUUCUGAAACAGAGCCUGGCCUCUUCCUGAGUUCUGUGCAUCUUGGGGUUCAAAUGCCGUCCUUCCAAAAACCCAACAUCUUCGGCACGUGGAGCGUCGCAGACUCGAGUGGUCACAUCUUAAGAGGAGCACAGGCUGAAACUCCAGGAAAAAAAAAAACUCUGAUACAUCAGAGACAGACUGCAGCAGGGAUUGACUAGAAACUGCUGGAAGACUGAAGUCCUCCCUGUGUUUGUUUCUGAGUUGGUCGCGGCGCUCCGGCUCCCUGGUGGCUCCCACCACGCACAGCUGCAAUUCGUCAUCUCGUCACCGCGCAGUGCCUCUUCCCCGACUGAUGCCCUCCAUCAGCCAGGCGUCAGCCCUCUUGGCUUGCCAGUCACUUCUGUCUCACAUCACCUGUCAGUUUUAUUUACAUAAAUCUGCCAAUAAACCAAAUUACAUCAAUG
rnacentral:lncRNA from 1 species